CUUCCAGAUCAGAAUUAUUUCUAAAAGCACCAUGGGUGAUGUCCCAUGAUUCUAAAACACAAGCCAGGGGGAGAACCACUGCUGUUGGAGGUUCUCAGCCUGAAACACCCUCUUCUGCCUCCUGUUGGCCAAUCCAAAUUCGCCCAUACCUCAAGGCCCAAGCCAACUCCCAACUCCAGGCCAAAAUCUUUGCCUUCUGUGAUCUCCUUACAUUGACAACUGGCAUCACACAACAUAGCCUCUAAUUACAGAAAGCAAGAUACAGAUCUCUAAAUGCUUGUGUGACUGCCUGUACACCCAGUCUUUAGGCAAUUAGAUGAAGAGAGUAAUCUUCAUUUUCCUGAAAAAUAAAACACCAAGAGCUCUCAACUGGAUUAUUCAAAAUAAAAACGUUAUGCAUGCUAAUCUGCCAGUAACCAUGAGUUACAAUGAAGAAGAAUCAAUGUAACUGUACCUUAGACUGGAUUUUCUACUGUAUGGAAGUACAGAGUUUAAGUGAAAGGAAAUAAAAACUUCCACUCCUGAAGAGGAAAGAUAUUAUAAAGUUAAGACAGCAAGAGGACAACUGAGGAGGAAUACGAGGGAGAAUUUUAGGCUGUUGUUUAAAGUAGACAUUGCCAGUAUCCAUGUGGGCAGAAACCACUGCCACCUACCUACUCCUGGAAUUGGUCCUGUGUUUUCCCUGAACAUAUGGCAGAGUCAAGUGGCCUGGUAAGAGGGACAAGAAGUUAAAGUGUUGGUUAGAAGAGCAUAUCACUGGGUCAAGGAAGUCCCAACGCUCAUCACCUCAGUGCCUCCCAUUUACAAGUGGAAGAAUUUCUGAAUCAGGGUCCUGAGGAAUGCAGCAGGGAGAAAGGCAGGAAUUCUCACUGGUUAUGGAAAAAAAUUUUCUGAGUUGUAAGGGGCAAAGAUACAUAAAUGACAACACCAAGAAACAUUAUGCUGGCAGUGUGAUAGAGGAAAGAUCCUGAGAAAUAAUUCAGGUCCUUUACAAAACUGUUUUUCAAAAACAAAACAAAACAAAACAAAAACAAAAAACAAACACAAAACAAACCCAACCCAAAACCCCCAAAAAAACCUGCUUCUCAAGAAGAAAGUAUAUUUAGUGUGCAGGUAAGGGGGACAGUACAGGGGCUGGAGAAAGUAAACAGGAUGACGAUAGAAAGUGUCCCUCUCAUAACAUUCACUCAACACGGAAGUUCUAACAGCUGUGGCACGUAGGUAUACCAGCACCCUGUUACCUUAGAUGUUCUAACUUCUGAAACAUUGAUGAAUAAUAAGUGACAGCAUAACAGUUCAAGCCUUGACAGUGCUCAAAGAUGGGCUGUUGAGCUGCUCGUUCUAUCUCAAUUUAGGUUUAAAAAAUGGGCAAUUCACCAACAUGAAGUGUUGAAAAACGUGCAGUAUAUUGCUAAUAAUAUUUCAUAUUAGUUAAGUGUGCCACAUACUGCCUGAACACACAUUUCACAUCAAAAAGAAAAUACUCUUUUUGAGAAAACAUAGUGCCUGCUAAGGAGACAGGAAAUGAGAAAAGCAUUGUACCCUAUCUGGCUAUGAUUUCUAACAGAAUUUGUGGAAUCCAUAACGGUUGUUAAUAUGUGCUAUCAUAGUGUUCAAACAGGGACUGUUCUUUCCCAAACCAUUUGAAUAUCACAAACCAUUAGAAAUAUACUAAAUCUCGGUUUGGUAACCUUUGCCCAAUAGAAAGAUAAGAAAAUGACAGCCUCGUCUCUCCAAAUAUAUUAUGAUUCCUUGGCAUUUUUUAGUUCUGAGACAUUCUACGAUAGGAAUUUUUCCAGAUACCAAAUCUCACUUCUAAAACACAUCAAAAUAUUUAUAGCUUAUAACCUUUGUAUU